rnacentral:sRNA from 1 species
AUUCAUUAAGUUUCAUUCACCUUUCGCAGCAGGCUUUAUAUUGUAGUUUGUUUGUUUGUUUAGCUUUUUUGGCCAUGCUUUUACAUAAUUGAAUUGAGUGACUAAUCAUACGUACUAAAGACCAAUGAGGAAAUGCCUUUCUAACAGCCUGAACCUGACCCCAAAAGAACCGAAAAGAAUUUCCAACUGGAUACGAGAGAGCGAAGAAAACGAGCAAAGGAGAAGAAGAAGAACAAGCAGAAGAAGAAGCAGAAGACUCGCACUACCAGUUUUCUCCAAGAACCAAAAAGUCACGGUGACCCAUAUAACAUAUAGCACCGCAGUCGCUGCUGACGUCAACAGAGCGACAGACAGAGAGAGAGCGAACGAGUAAGAGUACAGAACAAACGCUAGACAGAAGAAAA